GAUCUGAUAAUGCUGACUUCUUUUACACCCUAUUUCUCUGUUUUCUCUUCUCCUCGUGUGUGCCUCUCUAGGAUGUCAGCAUAUGUGUGCCAGACCAUCCAUCCUUCACUGCAGCCAGAGGCUUGUCCUCAGCUUUCGCUCAUGAGUGCCAGGCGUGACAUUGCAGGCAGGCGUUCCAGGAGUCCUCGAUGAAUUCCGUUGUGAUUCUUUAAGGAAUCUUCACGAGAAGUCCCCAGGUUGCAGUUCCCUUGAGACGGGAAGGCUUGGACUUCAAGAUGCUUAUAAAGGAAUACCGCAUUCCUCUUCCAAUGAGUGUGGAGGAGUAUCGCAUCGCCCAGCUGUACAUGAUACAGGUAGGUGACCCCACCCUAGGGGGCAGAGCCAGCCUCUGAAGCUGAGGAUGGUGGUCAUCUCCAACCUAUGAGCUUUGAUCUUACUGGGUCCUUGGAGGCCCCCAGGGCAGGGAUUGCUGCCCCCAUUUGUCAGAUGAAGACUCUGGCAAUGACAGAUGGAAGUGGAUAAAGAGCUGGCCUCAGAGGCAGGGUUCAAAUCCACCUCUGAUGCAUUCUGGCAUGGUCACCUUGGUCAUUUGUCCUCUCAGUGCCCGGCUAGCUCUCCAUGACAACAAAUCAUAGUGGGUACUGCUCUGCAUGGGUGGAAGGAGUUUUUUUUCACUGCAUUAGCACCUGCAUUGUCAAAAUCUGGUCCAAUUUUUUAACUUUUUGAGGUCUACAAAGUUCUUCCAUUAUCUCAUUCAGUCCUCCCAAGCACCCUAGGAAGCAACUGCUGCAGGUAUUAUUGUGCCCAUUUUACAGAUGCGUGAAGUGACUUGCUUGGGGUCAUCCAAUAUUGGAUCUGGAACUGGAAGGGUCCUUAAGGGUCAUCUAGUCCAAGCCCCUCAUUUUUCAGUUGAGGAAACUGAGACCCAGAGAGAUUAAGCCACAUAGGUCCUAACUGGCAGAGCUGGAGUUCAUACCCAGAUCCUCUCCUCUGUCUCUAGACCAGAUACCAUUUUUGCUGAGGAUUCCUGACUCUUUCCAGGGCCCUUGCUCUUCUUCCACCCUUAAGGCCUUGUCCUAAAUCCCAUACUGAGUCAGUGGCAGAUGUGGAGUUAAAAUUCAGUUGCAGGACCCAGGUGCAUUCAGUUUGGAGGAGACUCAGGGGGCAUGUGCUGACUGUCUUCAGAUCCAUC
rnacentral:lncRNA from 1 species